rnacentral:tRNA from 1 species
UGGGUUGUGGCUCAGUGGUAGAGCACUCACCUAGCAUGUGCAAGGCCCUGGGUUCGAUCCUCAGCACCACAU